ACGAGUUCUGAUUAUUGAAAGGUGCUUGCAUCUUGAUUUAAUUUUGAACGAGUGGCGGACGGGUGAGUAACACGUGGGUAACCUGCCCUUAAGUGGGGGAUAACAUUUGGAAACAGAUGCUAAUACCGCAUAAAUCCAAGAACCGCAUGGUUCUUGGCUGAAAGAUGGCGUAAGCUAUCGCUUUUGGAUGGACCCGCGGCGUAUUAGCUAGUUGGUGAGGUAACGGCUCACCAAGGCAAUGAUACGUAGCCGAACUGAGAGGUUGAUCGGCCACAUUGGGACUGAGACACGGCCCAAACUCCUACGGGAGGCAGCAGUAGGGAAUCUUCCACAAUGGACGCAAGUCUGAUGGAGCAACGCCGCGUGAGUGAAGAAGGCUUUCGGGUCGUAAAACUCUGUUGUUGGAGAAGAAUGGUCGGCAGAGUAACUGUUGUCGGCGUGACGGUAUCCAACCAGAAAGCCACGGCUAACUACGUGCCAGCAGCCGCGGUAAUACGUAGGUGGCAAGCGUUAUCCGGAUUUAUUGGGCGUAAAGCGAGCGCAGGCGGUUUUUUAAGUCUGAUGUGAAAGCCCUCGGCUUAACCGAGGAAGUGCAUCGGAAACUGGGAAACUUGAGUGCAGAAGAGGACAGUGGAACUCCAUGUGUAGCGGUGAAAUGCGUAGAUAUAUGGAAGAACACCAGUGGCGAAGGCGGCUGUCUGGUCUGUAACUGACGCUGAGGCUCGAAAGCAUGGGUAGCGAACAGGAUUAGAUACCCUGGUAGUCCAUGCCGUAAACGAUGAAUGCUAGGUGUUGGAGGGUUUCCGCCCUUCAGUGCCGCAGCUAACGCAUUAAGCAUUCCGCCUGGGGAGUACGACCGCAAGGUUGAAACUCAAAGGAAUUGACGGGGGCCCGCACAAGCGGUGGAGCAUGUGGUUUAAUUCGAAGCAACGCGAAGAACCUUACCAGGUCUUGACAUCUUUUGAUCACCUGAGAGAUCAGGUUUCCCCUUCGGGGGCAAAAUGACAGGUGGUGCAUGGUUGUCGUCAGCUCGUGUCGUGAGAUGUUGGGUUAAGUCCCGCAACGAGCGCAACCCUUAUGACUAGUUGCCAGCAUUUAGUUGGGCACUCUAGUAAGACUGCCGGUGACAAACCGGAGGAAGGUGGGGAUGACGUCAAAUCAUCAUGCCCCUUAUGACCUGGGCUACACACGUGCUACAAUGGAUGGUACAACGAGUUGCGAGACCGCGAGGUCAAGCUAAUCUCUUAAAGCCAUUCUCAGUUCGGACUGUAGGCUGCAACUCGCCUACACGAAGUCGGAAUCGCUAGUAAUCGCGGAUCAGCACGCCGCGGUGAAUACGUUCCCGGGCCUUGUACACACCGCCCGUCACACCAUGAGAGUUUGUAACACCCGAAGCCGGUGGCGUAACCCUUUUAGGGAGCGAGCCGU
rnacentral:rRNA from 1 species